GAUGAACGCUGGCGGCGUGCCUAAUACAUGCAAGUCGAGCGAACGGACGAGAAGCUUGCUUCUCUGAUGUUAGCGGCGGACGGGUGAGUAACACGUGGAUAACCUACCUAUAAGACUGGGAUAACUUCGGGAAACCGGAGCUAAUACCGGAUAAUAUUUUGAACCGCAUGGUUCAAAAGUGAAAGACGGUCUUGCUGUCACUUAUAGAUGGAUCCGCGCUGCAUUAGCUAGUUGGUAAGGUAACGGCUUACCAAGGCAACGAUGCAUAGCCGACCUGAGAGGGUGAUCGGCCACACUGGAACUGAGACACGGUCCAGACUCCUACGGGAGGCAGCAGUAGGGAAUCUUCCGCAAUGGGCGAAAGCCUGACGGAGCAACGCCGCGUGAGUGAUGAAGGUCUUCGGAUCGUAAAACUCUGUUAUUAGGGAAGAACAUAUGUGUAAGUAACUGUGCACAUCUUGACGGUACCUAAUCAGAAAGCCACGGCUAACUACGUGCCAGCAGCCGCGGUAAUACGUAGGUGGCAAGCGUUAUCCGGAAUUAUUGGGCGUAAAGCGCGCGUAGGCGGUUUUUUAAGUCUGAUGUGAAAGCCCACGGCUCAACCGUGGAGGGUCAUUGGAAACUGGAAAACUUGAGUGCAGAAGAGGAAAGUGGAAUUCCAUGUGUAGCGGUGAAAUGCGCAGAGAUAUGGAGGAACACCAGUGGCGAAGGCGACUUUCUGGUCUGUAACUGACGCUGAUGUGCGAAAGCGUGGGGAUCAAACAGGAUUAGAUACCCUGGUAGUCCACGCCGUAAACGAUGAGUGCUAAGUGUUAGGGGGUUUCCGCCCCUUAGUGCUGCAGCUAACGCAUUAAGCACUCCGCCUGGGGAGUACGACCGCAAGGUUGAAACUCAAAGGAAUUGACGGGGACCCGCACAAGCGGUGGAGCAUGUGGUUUAAUUCGAAGCAACGCGAAGAACCUUACCAAAUCUUGACAUCCUUUGACAACUCUAGAGAUAGAGCCUUCCCCUUCGGGGGACAAAGUGACAGGUGGUGCAUGGUUGUCGUCAGCUCGUGUCGUGAGAUGUUGGGUUAAGUCCCGCAACGAGCGCAACCCUUAAGCUUAGUUGCCAUCAUUAAGUUGGGCACUCUAAGUUGACUGCCGGUGACAAACCGGAGGAAGGUGGGGAUGACGUCAAAUCAUCAUGCCCCUUAUGAUUUGGGCUACACACGUGCUACAAUGGACAAUACAAAGGGCAGCGAAACCGCGAGGUCAAGCAAAUCCCAUAAAGUUGUUCUCAGUUCGGAUUGUAGUCUGCAACUCGACUACAUGAAGCUGGAAUCGCUAGUAAUCGUAGAUCGGCAUGCUACGGUGAAUACGUUCCCGGGUCU
rnacentral:rRNA from 1 species